rnacentral:lncRNA from 1 species
AGGAUGAAGUAGAGUUCGUAGGCAUCCUGUGAUAACAUUCAGGCUGAUCAGUGUAGCUCAAUCAUAUUGGGGGGGAUUUGUGCCCAUACUCUAGAGGUUAUGGCUUUGACUUGAUGGUUGAUUGGCGAUGGGCCCUUUGGAUAGCAGACCUCCCAUUAAGUUGUUGGCUGAUAUUUAUUAAUGUGGAGGUUGGAGGUCUUUAUGGAUCUGUCAUUUGUUACAUCCCGAGGGG